GAUGAAGAACGCAGCGAAAUGCGAUAAGUAAUGUGAAUUGCAGAAUUCAGUGAAUCAUCGAAUCUUUGAACGCACAUUGCGCCCCUUGGUAUUCCGAGGGGCAUGCCUGUUCAAGCGUCAUUAUAACCCCUCAAGCUCAGCUUGGUGUUGGGGCCUGCUGCACUGGCAGCCCUUAAAAUCAGUGGCGGCGCCAUCUGGCUCUAAGCGUAGUAAUUCUUCUCGCUAUGGAGUCCUGGUGGAUGCUUGCCAUCAACCCCCAAUUUUUCUAUGGUUGACCUCGGAUCAGGUAGGGAUACCCGCUGAACUUAAGCAUUUCAAUAAGCGGAGGA
rnacentral:misc_RNA from 1 species